rnacentral:rRNA from 1 species
AGUGAACGCUGGCGGUAGACCUAACACAUGCAAGUCGAACGGCAGCACAGUAAGAGCUUGCUCUUACGGGUGGCGAGUGGCGGACGGGUGAGGAAUACAUCGGAAUCUACUUUUUCGUGGGGGAUAACGUAGGGAAACUUACGCUAAUACCGCAUACGCCCUACGGGUGAAAGCAGGGGAUCUUCGCACCUUGCGCGAUUGAAUGAGCCGAUGUCGGAUUAGCUAGUUGGCGGGGUAAAGGCCCACCAAUGCGACGAUCCGUAGCUGGUCUGAGAGGAUGAUCAGCCACACUGGAACUGAGACACGGUCCAGACUCCUACGGGAGGCAGCAGUGGGGAAUAUUGGACAAUGGGCGCAAGCCUGAUCCAGCCAUACCGCGUGGGUGAAGAAGGCCUUCGGGUUGUAAAGCCCUUUUGUUGGGAAAGAAAAGCAGCAGGUUAAUACCCCGCUGUUCUGACGGUACCCAAAGAAUAAGCACCGGCUAACUUCGUG